GGAAGGGUGUCCGAGUGGAUUAUGGUAGCUGUCUUGAAAACAGCCGCUCCUCACGGGGCCGUGGGUUCGAAUCCCACCCCUUCCU
rnacentral:tRNA from 1 species